rnacentral:rRNA from 1 species
CAGCCGCAACAGCCCGCUGGCUCGCACGGGGUGCUCUUCAUCGAGUGUCCCGCGUGGCCGGCAGAGUUUACUUUGAAAAAAUUAGAGUGCUCAAAGCAGGCUACACUGACAGCCUGAAUGCCUAUGCAUGGAAUAAUGGAAUAGGACCUCGGUUCUAUUUUGUCGGUUUUCUGAACCCGAGGUAAUGACUAAUAGGAACAGGCGGGGGCAUUCGUAUUGCGACGCUAGAGGUGAAAUUCUUGGACCGUCGCAAGACGAACUACUGCGAAAGCAUUUGCCAAGGAUGUUUUCAUUAAUCAAGAACGAAAGUUAGAGGUUCGAAGGCGAUCAGAUACCGCCCUAGUUCUAACCAUAAACGAUGCUGACCAGCGAUCCGCCGGCGUUAUUCCCAUGACCCGGCAGGCAGCUUCCGGGAAACCAAAGUCUUUGGGUUCCGGGGGAAGUAUGGUUGCAAAGCUGAAACUUAAAGGAAUUGACGGAAGGGCACCACCAGGAGUGGAGCCUGCGGCUUAAUUUGACUCAACACGGGGAACCUCACCAGGCCCAGACACCGGAAGGAUUGACAGAUUGAGAGCUCUUUCUCGAUUCGGUGGGUGGUGGUGCAUGGCCGUUCUUAGUUGGUGGAGCGAUUUGUCUGGUUAAUUCCGAUAAC